rnacentral:rRNA from 1 species
GGGGGCCCGCAAGUGGUGGAGCAUGUGGUUCAAUUCGACGCAACGCGAAGAACCUUACCUGGGCUCGAAAUGUAGUGGACCGGGGUGGAAACAUCCCUUCCCGCAAGGGCUGCUAUAUAGGUGCUGCGUGGCUGUCGUCAGCUCGUGUCGUGAGAUGUUGGGUUAAGUCCCGCAACGAGCGCAACCCUUAUUGUCAGUUGCCAUCAUUCAGUUGGGCACUCUGGCGAAACCGCCUCGGAUAACGGGGAGGAAGGUGGGGAUGACGUCAAGUCCUCAUGGCCUUUAUGUCCAGGGCUACACACGUGCUACAAUGGCCGAUACAAAGCGUUGCAAACUCGCGAGAGUGAGCUAAUCGCAUAAAGUCGGUCUCAGUUCGGAUUGCAGGCUGCAACUCGCCUGCAUGAAGUUGGAAUCGCUAGUAAUCGCGGAUCAGCAUGCCGCGGUGAAUACGUUCCCGGGCCUUGUACACACC